rnacentral:lncRNA from 1 species
UUAAAAUACUGCUGUUCACUUAUUAUAUUAACUAGUUUUAUUCUCCUUUUUUAGCAAAAGAGUUCAAGACUGCAUCAGAAGAGAUGGUGAAGGAAAUCACACCAGGAUACUAUGAUGAUGUCAUCACUGUUGGACUGAAACCAGAUCGUGAGACAGAAGACACACCUGAGAGCUAUGAUGAUGUCAUGAUGAGCAGACAUGACUCUGAUAUCAAAAAAGGUGUUUUACUUUAUUCAUUUUUUAAAAAUAAUAUAUAUAUAUGGGUUUUUUAG